rnacentral:rRNA from 1 species
CCUACGGGUGGCAGCAGUGGGGAAUAUUGGACAAUGGGGGCAACCCUGAUCCAGCCAUGCCGCGUGUGUGAAGAAGGCCCUCGGGUUGUAAAGCACUUUCAGUGAGGAAGAACGCCUGGUGGUUAAUACCCAUCAGGAAAGACAUCACUCACAGAAGAAGCACCGGCUAACUCCGUGCCAGCAGCCGCGGUAAUACGGAGGGUGCGAGCGUUAAUCGGAAUUACUGGGCGUAAAGCGCGCGUAGGUGGCUUGAUAAGCCGGUUGUGAAAGCCCCGGGCUCAACCUGGGAACAGCAUCCGGAACUGUCAAGCUAGAGUGCAGGAGAGGAAGGUAGAAUUCCCGGUGUAGCGGUGAAAUGCGUAGAGAUCGGGAGGAAUACCAGUGGCGAAGGCGGCCUUCUGGACUGACACUGACACUGAGGUGCGAAAGCGUGGGUAGCAAACAGGAUUAGAUACCCUAGUAGUC